GGAUUCUGGGCGUAAGCGCACGCAGGCGGUCUGUCAAGUCGGAUGUGAAAUCCCCGGGCUCAACCUGGGAACUGCAUUCGAAACUGGCAGGCUAGAGUCUUGUAGAGGGGGGUAGAAUUCCAGGUGUAGCGGUGAAAUGCGUAGAGAUCUGGAGGAAUACCGGUGGCGAAGGCGGCCCCCUGGACAAAGACUGACGCUCAGGUGCGAAAGCGUGGGGAGCAAACAGGAUUAGAUACCCUGGUAGUCCACGCCGUAAACGAUGUCGACUUGGAGGUUGUGCCCUUGAGGCGUGGCUUCCGGAGCUAACGCGUUAAGUCGACCGCCUGGGGAGUACGGCCGCAAGGUUAAAACUCAAAUGAAUUGACGGGGGCCCGCACAAGCGGUGGAGCAUGUGGUUUAAUUCGAUGCAACGCGAAGAACCUUACCUACUCUUGACAUCCAGAGAACUUUCCAGAGAUGGAUUGGUGCCUUCGGGAACUCUGAGACAGGUGCUGCAUGGCUGUCGUCAGCUCGUGUUGUGAAAUGUUGGGUUAAGUCCCGCAACGAGCGCAACCCUUAUCCUUUGUUGCCAGCGGUUAGGCCGGGAACUCAAAGGAGACUGCCAGUGAUAAACUGG
rnacentral:rRNA from 1 species